rnacentral:rRNA from 1 species
UACGGGGGGGGCAAGCGUUGUUCGGAAUUACUGGGCGUAAAGGGUUAGUAGGUGGCCAACUAAGUCAGACGUGAAAUCCCUCAGCUUAACUGGGGAACUGCGUCUGAGACUGAUUGGCUCGAGGACAGGAGAGGAACGCGGAAUUCCAGGUGUAGCGGUGAAAUGCGUAGAUAUCGCUUGGAACGCCAAAGGUGAAAACAGGUUGCUGGGGAUGUUCUGACACUGAGACGCGAAAGCCAGGGGAGCGAACGGG